rnacentral:rRNA from 1 species
CCUUCGGGGAACGCGAAAGGCGUCGAGCGGCGGACGGGUGAGUAAUGCCUAGGAAAUUGCCCUGAUGUGGGGGAUAACCAUUGGAAACGAUGGCUAAUACCGCAUAAUGCCUACGGGCCAAAGAGGGGGACCUUCGGGCCUCUCGCGUCAGGAUAUGCCUAGGUGGGAUUAGCUAGUUGGUGAGGUAAGGGCUCACCAAGGCGACGAUCCCUAGCUGGUCUGAGAGGAUGAUCAGCCACACUGGAACUGAGACACGGUCCAGACUCCUACGGGAGGCAGCAGUGGGGAAUAUUGCACAAUGGGCGCAAGCCUGAUGCAGCCAUGCCGCGUGUGUGAAGAAGGCCUUCGGGUUGUAAAGCACUUUCAGUCGUGAGGAAGGUAGUGUAGUUAAUAGCUGCAUUAUUUGACGUUAGCGACAGAAGAAGCACCGGCUAACUCCGUGCCAGCAGCCGCGGUAAUACGGAGGGUGCGAGCGUUAAUCGGAAUUACUGGGCGUAAAGCGCAUGCAGGUGGUUUGUUAAGUCAGAUGUGAAAGCCCGGGGCUCAACCUCGGAAUUGCAUUUGAAACUGGCAGACUACAGUACUGUACAGGGGGGUAGAAUUUCAGGUGUAGCGGUGAAAUGC